rnacentral:rRNA from 1 species
GGGUUGUGAGGUUAAGCGACUAAGCGUACACGGUGGAUGCCCUGGCAGUCAGAGGCGAUGAAGGGCGUGCUAAUCUGCGAUAAGCGCCGGUAAGGUGAUAUGAACCGUUAUAACCGGCGAUACCCGAAUGGGGAAACCCAGUGUGACUCGUCACACUAUCAUUAACUGAAUCCAUAGGUUAAUGAGGCGAACCGGGGGAACUGAAACAUCUAAGUACCCCGAGGAAAAGAAAUCAACCGAGAUUCCCCCAGUAGCGGCGAGCGAACGGGGAGGAGCCCAGAGCCUGAAUCAGCAUGUGUGUUAGUGGAAGCGUCUGGAAAGGCGCGCGAUACAGGGUGACAGCCCCGUACACAAAAGCGCAUGUGCUGUGAGCUCGAUGAGUAGGGCGGGACACGUGGUAUCCUGUCUGAAUAUGGGGGGACCAUCCUCCAAGGCUAAAUACUCCUGACUGACCGAUAGUGAACCAGUACCGUGAGGGAAAGGCGAAAAGAACCCCGGCGAGGGGAGUGAAAAAGAACCUGAAACCGUGUACGUACAAGCAGUGGGAGCCCCACCACUAAGCCAGUGGUGAACUCCACAUACGCAUCCUUUGCUGAGGAUACGGUUAACGGAGCGAAAGCGACGUUCAACCUCAAAAGAAGCAGAGGGGGCUUAGUGGUGGGGUGACUGCGUACCUUUUGUAUAAUGGGUCAGCGACUUAUAUUCUGUAGCAAGGUUAACCGAAUAGGGGAGCCGGAGGGAAACCGAGUCUUAAUUGGGCGUUAAGUUGCAGGGUAUAGACCCGAAACCCGGUGAUCUAGCCAUGGGCAGGUUGAAGGUUGGGUAACACUAACUGGAGGACCGAACCGACUAAUGUUGAAAAAUUAGCGGAUGACCUGUGGCUGGGGGUGAAAGGCCAAUCAAACCGGGAGAUAGCUGGUUCUCCCCGAAAGCUAUUUAGGUAGCGCCUCGUGAAUUCAUCUCCGGGGGUAGAGCACUGUUUCGGCUAGGGGGCCAUCCCGGCUUACCAACCCGAUGCAAACUGCGAAUACCGGAGAAUGUUAUCACGGGAGACACACGGCGGGUGCUAACGUCCGUCGUGAAGAGGGAAACAACCCAGACCGCCAGCUAAGGUCCCAAAGUCAUGGUUAAGUGGGAAACGAUGUGGGAAGGCCCAGACAGCCAGGAUGUUGGCUUAGAAGCAGCCAUCAUUUAAAGAAAGCGUAAUAGCUCACUGGUCGAGUCGGCCUGCGCGGAAGAUGUAACGGGGCUAAACCAUGCACCGAAGCUGCGGCAGCGACGUUUAUGCGUUGUUGGGUAGGGGAGCGUUCUGUAAGCCUGCGAAGGUGGCCUGUGAGGGUUGCUGGAGGUAUCAGAAGUGCGAAUGCUGACAUAAGUAACGAUAAAGCGGGUGAAAAGCCCGCUCGCCGGAAGACCAAGG